rnacentral:rRNA from 1 species
CCCUUAGACGUUCUGGGCCGCACGCGCGCUACACUGACCAGUGCAACAAGCAUCCGUCCUUGGCCGACAGGCUCGGGCAAUCUUUGAACGCUGGUCGUGAUGGGGAUAGACUUUUGCAAUUUUUGGUCUUCAACGAGGAAUUCCUAGUAAACGCAAGUCAUCAACUUGCAUUGAUUACGUCCCUGCCCUUUGUACACACCGCCCGUCGCACCUACCGAUUGAAUGGUCCGGUGAAGCCUCCGGAUUGGCGCGCACCUCGGUGCCGCUGAGAAGUUGGCUAAACCUUACCAUUUAGAGGAAGGUGAAGUCGUAACA